rnacentral:rRNA from 1 species
UACAGAGGGUGCGAGCGUUAAUCGGAAUUACUGGGCGUAAAGCGCGCGUAGGCGGCUUUGCAAGUCGGGUGUGAAAUCCCCAGGCUUAACCUGGGAACUGCAUUCGAGACUGCAUUGCUAGAGUAUGGGAGAGGGAAGUGGAAUUUCCGGUGUAGCGGUGAAAUGCGUAGAUAUCGGAAGGAACAUCAGUGGCGAAAGCGACUUCCUGGACCAAUACUGACGCUCAUGUGCGAAAGCGUGGGUAGCAAACAGG